rnacentral:lncRNA from 1 species
AAAUGAUCUGUUUAGCAUUAGCAUUGAAAGGGAAAAAGGCAUAGAGCACACAUUUACGAAAUGAAAGAUGUAUUAGAGGCCAAUUACAUGAAGACUUUUGAACCCAGGUUGAAUUCCUAUCCAGUUGACCGAGCUAAAAUUGUUUUACGUAGCAAGUUUCAGCCCGAGCCGAGUUUAAAAUUUCAGUCUCGAAAGAGAGCUGAUUCCCCCUUUUUUAAAUCAUUUAAAAUAUUGAUUAUUUCUAAUAUUUGACCUCGUGUACGAGAUUAUGGUU